rnacentral:lncRNA from 1 species
UGAGGUUGCCUUCGUAGCUCAGAAUGUGGUAUGUACUGAUGAAUGCAUAUUCUGCUGUUGUUGCAUGGAACAUUCUAUCACUGUCUAGUUGGCUGAUUACUGUUUUUCAAGUCUUCUGAGCGCUUACUGUUUUUCUCUAUAUUUGUUUCAUCAGUUAUUGAGCGUGGAGUGUUGAAGUCUUUAACUCUGAGGAUUUUUUUACUACUUUUUUGUUUUAGCCUCAUUUAUUUUAAAGCUCUGGUUUAAUUGCUGCACAUUUAGGAUUUUUAUAUGUUCAUAAAGAGGUGACCCCUUUAUCAUUCAUUGUAUAAUAUUCCUGUUCAUCCUUGAUAACAUUCCCUGUUCUGAUGUCUACUUUGUCUGAUAUUGGUAUAUAGUUUUUCUAGCUCUGUUUUAGCUAAUGUUUUAAGGUAUAUCUUUCUCUAAACUUUUCUUUCAAUCCUUCAUGUCUUUAUGUUUAAAAUGGGCUUCUUGUCCACAGUGUAUGCAUGGGACUUGCUUUUUCACCUAGUCCAGCAAUCUCUCUUCUUAAUUCUUUUUUGGCCGCCCCGUGGCAUAUGGAGCCCCUGGAUCAGGAAUCAGAUCCAAUUGCAGUUGCUACCUAGGCCGCAGCUGCAGCAAUGCUGGAUCCUUAAUCCACUGUGCAGGGCUGGGGAUCGAACCUGCGUCCCAGCACUCCCAAGACACUGCUGAUCCUGUUGCGCCACAGCAGGAACUCUAGCAAUCUCUCUCUUUCAAUUCAUGUGUUAGACCUUUCAUUUCAGUGUUAUUUUUUAAGUAAUUGGAAUAAAGUCUACCACCUUGCUAGUUGUUUUCUAUUUGUUUUAUUUUUUUCCCUUUUUAUGCCUUAGUUGAGCAUUUUUUUAUGAUGCUACUUUUUUCUCCCCUAUUGGCUUGUUGUUUGUGUUUUUAAAGAAAAUUUAGUUGUCUACCUUCAAAGACUGUUGCAUCACUUUGCAUGUCAUAUAAAGACGUCCUAACAAUAUAUUCACACGUCCUCCUUUCCAUCCUGUGUGCUGGUGCUGUUAUACCUUUUACAUUCACAUAUGUUAUAAGCACACAUUGCAUUGUUAUUACUGUUUUUAUUUUUAAAUUUUUUUUAUUAUUCCCCCAAUAUAAUUGUUUUUCUACUGUACAGCAUGGUGACCCAGUUACACAUACAUGUACACAUUCUUUUUUCUCCCAUUAUCACGCUCCAUCGUUAAGUGACUGGACAUAGUUCCCAGUGCUACACAGCAGGAUCUCAUUGCUAAUCCAUUCCAAAGGCAAUAGUUUUAAUUUUCUUCAUUUAUUCUCUUUCCAUCUCUCUUCACUUGAGAGGAUAAAUACGUGUUCCCAUCAAUAUCAUGUUCUUUCUUCUUAAAGGGCUUCCUUUAACAUUUACCAUCAAGUUGGUCAGCUGGAAGUGGAUCUUCUCAGUUUUUAUUUUCUAAGACAGUUUGUAUUUCUCUUUCAUCACUGAAAAUUAUUUUCAGUGAGCAUAAAAUUCUGGGUUUUUGUUUUUUCUUUAGUUUUCAUCGAUACUGUGCUUUUCAUUGGUAGCAUUUCAUUUCUUUUUUCUUUUUUCAUAGUUUCCCUCUCGCAGCUGAAACUCUCACUUGACAUUGUAUGUUUCCACCUUUCUCAUUAGAGCUGUUAGCAUAUUCAUCAGUUAUUUUAAAUUCUCUCGAAGUUCUAACAUCUAUCAUAUCUGACUGGUUCUGAUGGCUUUUUCUCUCCCAAGUAUUUUUUCUUGCCUUUUGUAGUGUUUUGCAAUUUUCUUUGAAAGCUAGUCAUCUUACAUAGACAGUAGAGACCAAUGUCGAUGGCUUUUGCCUGGCAAGGAGUGUGCUUCUCCUGCGGGCCUUUCCAGGGGGAGGUAGAGCUUUUCUAGUCAGGAGGUGGACUGGGUGGGAGAGGUGUUGUUGUUGAGGCCACCAUCAGAGCCUCCAGAGGCCUCGGGUUCCUGCCAAGACACGUCUUGUUUGGGGUGGAGGAUGGAUCACAGGAGGAAGUCUUGUCCACUCCAGGUUCAGGUCUUUCCUCUGCCCUGUGCCUCAGAGCUGGUUGCCCUGCACGUUCUGCUCUUCUCCUGUUCCUCUCCCAGUGGUGUUUUGCUGUCACCUCCCAUUUGGAGCUCCACAGGUUGGCACUAGGGGGUGAGGAGGCGAUGAGGAAACUCUGUUCUGACCCAGCCUCAGCCUUCUGCCUGCACCCUCCUCUCAGGUUUCUGGGCCGUGGCCCUCGCAGUCUUCCGCGCUCCUCAGCUGUUGUGAUGGACUCAGGGCAGUCUCGUCCCUUCUUAAAGAGUAGAAGUGUGUCUUCCUCUUAUUCAUUCCUUUCCCCACUGCAGUAAGUUUUGACCAACGCACUAGGGCAGCAGUGCUUGCCGCCCUUCUCUGCACAGGAUAAAGCGUUUGUUCCCUGGUAGAGAGAGGGGAGAUGGAUCCAGGUGGAGGUCCUUGGCCCUGCUAAAGGCUGCUCCCCUCCCCUAGAUCUGGACCACAUUGGAUACUUAUCCUCUGAGUGCUUGAGUGGUGUUCAUAGCAUUGCGCCUGCAAGAGAGUGUGGCCCCAGAGGAGUGACACAGCCCUUCCAGCCCACACUUGGCUUUACCCAACCUGUCUGCCGUUCAGCUGAGCUCCUCUGACCAGUGUCCUGUUACAUCUACCCCAGGUGACACAAGCUGUGUCUCCUUUCUUCCUGCAGACACAGUCUCUAGAGUUUGCACUAUUUGAUUUCUGGGAGUUUGGCCUAUGAUGAGUUUGGGAAAAGUCAUAAAUGUAAAGGUAGGCCUAU